rnacentral:tRNA from 1 species
UCUUAUCUAAUUUAAAACAAAAUACAUAACUUGUAAUUAUGACAUACACACACACUGUGAUAAGAU